UGUUCUAGCUAGAUCUUGUUUGUUUCUGCACUAACUUAAUCAGCAUCAUCCUAAGCACAGAUGAGUUCUUAGGAUUUCAUUCAUCCAAAGACUGGGGAGGCUGGCCUGACCUUUCUUGGUUUAUAGAACACAAUGAGAUCACAGUCUAUUGCUUCAGGGGAAAAAUAGCAAAAGAUUACUUUUAUGAUGGAGACUUAAUAGAUUUGACAUGGCCAGAGGGCAUACCAGUAAUGGAAGAUGUGACUCUGCAAUAGGAACAAGUUGCUGGAAGUCCAUGGAGAAGAUUUUGGAAAGAAACCUGAAUUCCUUAAUUCACACCCUAGAGAAAUCCCAAACCUCAAAGUUUGAACACCUUAUUUGUUAAAAGCACAGAGAAACAACAAACCUCAGCAGGGAGGAAGGAACAAGUUGUGAAACUUUAACAAGAUCUCCAAGGAAGCUUAGACAAAAAGCUGAAGAAUAUGCUCUGCUGAGCUGCAUGACUCAUCUUGCAAUGUGUGGUGCCCAGAGCUGCGACACUGCUGGGUGGGAGGGCCACAGACGGCACAUCAAACGCGUCUCUGCUACGCAACGCGAGCAGAGGUUGUUGACUAAUGGUGACUUCAAAAAGAAAACCUCUUUUGCACACUGCUUGUUGACAGCUGUUAUUAUGACAUUUAAUCUAUAUUCAUUAUUCGGGGAAGCAGCUCAGCCAGGAUCCAGCAGUCAGUCUGCUAAACCCACUUAGUAGAUUACUUCGAGCUUUAGUUCCCAAAAUUCAAGUUCUUUCAUAUUUUGUUGCGUGAGAGCAGAGCAAAAAUCUUGAUCAAUGGGUGUCAGCAAAAAUGCCUCAAUCUGUUAAGAAAGGAAGGCUGGGAAAUAAAGUCGGGGGCAUAAUACAUGGCAGCAAUCCUUAUUAGAGCAGUCAUUGCUGAAGGCUGAAAAGGCAUUGCGUAGGAAUCCUCAUUAAGUGGACUAAUUUUGAACAGUGUCAAAUUAGGUUGAGUUUAAUUUUUUGCUAUCUCAGGUGUCAUACAGUAUUAUCUUCACUUGAGUUAACUUCUCUGCUUCAGUCCUACUGCCAUCACUGCUUUGAUGUGCUGUUUCCAGCCAUCAGUAUGAUCUGAAUAAUACCAAUGCUUCCUGCUGCCUCUGGCUGGCCCAAGUCCAGUUUUGUUUUCCCAUUCAGAGAUGUUCCGUUUGAU